CAGUAGCCGCGGUAAUACGGAGGGUGCAAGCGUUAAUCGGAAUUACUGGGCGUAAAACGCACGCAGGCGGUUUGUUAAGUCAGAUGUGAAAUCCCCGAGCUUAACUUGGGAACUGCAUUUGAAACUGGCAAGCUAGAGUCUUGUAGAGGGGGGUAGAAUUCCAGGUGUAGCGGUGAAAUGCGUAGAGAUCUGGAGGAAUACCGGUGGCGAAGGCGGCCCCCUGGACAAAGACUGACGCUCAGGUGCGAAAGCGUGGGGAGCAAACAGGAUUAGAUACCCCUGUAGUCCCUGUCUCUUAUAC
rnacentral:rRNA from 1 species